AUCGAUAAAACAAUCAAUCGAUCCCGAGCUCUCGUCCUCAGCAGCUUCAGGUUUUCAGAUCUCUGCUGCAAACUGUUGAAUGUUCAGCCGGCAAAAUGUCUGCACCUGAUAGAUGAGACUGGAGACGAGCAGCGGAGUUCUGAAUGUUCCGGAAUCAUGUUGAAAUCAAAUCCACUGAACGAGAGGAGGGUCGUGAGGAAUGAAGGGAGGCGUCGCACAGACCUGGAGAAGAAGAGCAGAGAGACCCGCAGCUUCACAGCGAAGAAGAAGAGGAGGAAGAGGAGGAAGAGGAGGAAGAAGAGGAAGAGGAGGAAGAGGAGGA